AUUGAACGCUGGCGGCAUGCCUUACACAUGCAAGUCGAACGGUAGCGGGCCUUCGGGUGCCGACGAGUGGCGAACGGGUGAGUAAUGUAUCGGAACGUACCAUUGAGUGGGGGAUAACGUAGCGAAAGUUACGCUAAUACCGCAUAUUCUCUCCGGAGGAAAGCAGGGGACCGCAAGGCCUUGCGCUCUUUUGAGCGGCCGAUAUCAGAUUAGCUAGUUGGUGAGGUAAAGGCUCACCAAGGCGACGAUCUGUAGCGGGUCUGAGAGGAUGAUCCGCCACACUGGAACUGAGACACGGUCCAGACUCCUACGGGAGGCAGCAGUGGGGAAUUUUGGACAAAUGGGGGGCAACCCUGAUCCAGCCAUGCCGCGUGAGUGAAGAAGGCCUGUGUAG
rnacentral:rRNA from 1 species